AAACACUGAGAGAAUUGGACACUCCAGAGGAUCAGGUUGAAAAUCUCUUUUUUUUUUUCCUUCCAUCCAGCUCCUUUUUUUUUUACCCCCACCAACAUCUGUCUGUGUGUCUCCAUCUCCUCACCCACACAAAAAAAAAUCACCCACCCACCCAUGAGCCCAGACUACCUGCUUUCUCUCUCCCUGCAGGUGUCCUGCUGGCCUCUUGAUGCGAGGCAAAGGAUUGCUGUAACCAUGGCAACACCCUGACACAGACUCCCAUCUGUGAGCAGGGUGGGCAUUUGGUAAAAAAAAAAAAAAUCAUAUGUGUACUACUAGAGUUUUUGUGUUUUUUUUGUUUAUGUGAAUUUAUUGGACGCUCUUUUUGACGUCCCAGGGUCCUCGGCUGCGUCACCGGGACGGGCAGAUGUCACCGAGCGUGCUCCAGUGAACGAGUCUCUCACUUUCUCUGGGAGCGAGGGGGGAGGAUGGACAGGCGGUGAAGCUUCUGAGGCCCCGGCGUUGAUAUGACAGAUAAAGAAAUAAUGGGGAGUGUAGAGAGGGCGCUGAAAACAGAGGAGGAGGCUGAGGAGGAGCAGAGGAGAGCGGUGAUGAGAUAACAGUCCUCCUGCUGAAGGAGGCAGAGUGGGAGGACGAUCCAGAGCGAGACGGGCUGAGGUGAUAAAUUAAGAAAGGAAUACGAGGAGAGCUGCGAUGGAGAUGUUUUUGUGUGUGUUUAAGAAAACGUCAACUUUAAGAGCAGGAGAGAGAGAGAAAGAGAGAGAGAGAGAGAGAGGGAGAGGGAGAGAGAGAGAGAGAGAGAGGGAGAGAGAGAGAGAGAGAGAGAGAGAGAGAGAGAGAGGGAGGGAGGGAGGGAUGAGAGCAGUGGAGGAUGUUGAGCUGAAAUCUUAACUAACAGAAGCGACGGUGUCACGCUGAGAAGAGCUGAAACUAGACAUCAGGGCUUUAGGCUAAUUAAGAAAAGAAAGACGCUCUAGGUGUGUGUGUGCGUGUGUGUGUGUGUGUGUGUGUGUGUGUGCGUGUGUGUGUGCAUGUGUGUUUAACUCCCAUAAAAAGGACAAAGGUGUUUAGUUGUGUGUGUAUCUGUAAUGUCUGUCACAGUGUAACCUGAUGCAGCCUGAUUGUGACUCACACCUCUCCUCUUGUUUCUGUCACACGUUUGUUUCCGCUCCCUUUGUGUGUCUGAGGGUGUUUUUAUCGACUUAAUUACCCAAAGAUAUCCAUCUGGCGGUGGAAUGAGCUUCACAGAUCAGGCAGCAGCAGCAGCAGCAGCACAAUAUUGCCUCUUGUUAGUGAGGUCAUAGAGCUGAUUACCGUUCAACGUGACUGAAAUGUAGCAGGGAUGCAAUAAUAUGAUAGGACACUUAGCUAAACAUGAUCUAUGUGAAGUCUGAUUAACAGUGGGCGGGUUUUUCUAAGGUAGCUGCACAGACCCGAUCCAUGCUCAAGGGGGCGCCCAGGACAGCAUGUAGCCUGAUGUUUCAAAAACCUCAUACCCGAGCAUCUUCCACUUUAAGGUGUUGUAGUUCAGGAUCUGAGUUAGUUCCAGUUUUUAGUAGAAAUCUUGAAUGUAAACUCUACCCCUCCAAACCAGUUUUCCCCUCAGCUCCUCCUCUCCCCUCAAGCCCCGCCCACAAACAGACGCUCCUGCUCGCUCGUCUCGUUCCAAUUAAAUUCAGAUAUAAUGCAGAUAAAUACUUCAGAUCAUUACAAAUGGGGCCCAGUCAAGGUGAAAGUCAAAAGCAUUGGUGCUACUGUAGAUGUCAACAGACUACCAGCAAACACAAUGUUUGCAGGACUUCUACAACGAGGAUAAAGUGACAUAGUCCAGGACCCGAGGGAGGACAGUUUAGCGAUGGCGCUACAACACGCUACAGCAGGUCCGUUUGACAAGAAACACUUCUGUUACAGACACUUGUCUUACUUUGUUAAAGCGGUUUACCUGUCCAGCAGAAAGGUUACAGGGUCACCAAGAUCCCCAAGCGUCCCCCAUCGUUUAUGUUGACCCGGCUUUUUAGCUCUUGUCCGGUCUACCUCUGUUUUAAGCACCCGUUAUUCCUCCAGAGUCUCCGGUAUUUACUUUGUUUUCUUGCUUGUGUCGGCAGUCGUGGCCAAAGGAGGAUUCAGACAAUUUUCCGAACUUUCUGGUUGGUUUCUACUGUCCGAUAUUGUAGCACGCUAACUUUGUUUGGGCUCCUGAACGACACGGGGGAGCAGCGUCUGCCUCACAACCAAUCAGGUUAGAGGAGGUGGAGAACGGCUUUGUUUACAGUCAGAAAGAGCGGACCGCUCAAAAAUGUUCAAAUGUUGACGACACAGACAUAAGAGAACACAGAGAUAUUGAUAUAUUACCAAAUGUCAUCAAUAACUAAUAACUAUUGACUGAUAUUAAAAGCUUUUUUGUAAAUAUACCACAAAAAAGAUGCUUCUUUAACGGAUUCCCACCUUUAUUCCUGAUAAGUACUAUUCAAUAGUUGGUGAUGAAAUUGUAACAGCAUGACGGAAAAACACGAAACUUUUGAUUCACUGUUUACAAAAACGACUUCUACUCUGCAAGAAGCUCCAGUUCUGCACAGAUUUGAUUCGUUAUUAGUCACAUGGUCAUUAUGAAACUGUGUAUAACCCUGCAGCACAUGCACAUUAUCAAAAGACUGAUUUGGCACUUAAAUGAAAAAGUUUUUCCAGAGUAUAAUAAACUGUAAUGGUUUUUUACCAUUAGAAAAGGGCCUUAAAGGGAACAUGAUUAGAUUUGAUCCACUACACAGACAUCAGUGAGGACACCAGGGGGGGCGGUCUCCCCUCAUGCCCCCCUCUGAGUGCACCACUGCUUGUAUUUGCAGACAGAAACAUCCUUGUUCAUGACGCGGUGAUAUAGCAGAUGUUGAAGACCUCUUCUUUACCCUUAAAUCUCCAACUCUGAACCAUCUUUGAUCGUGUCUUUUUAACAGCAAAGACUUUGUGUUUAAAUCCUGAAAAACUCAAACCUGAGGAGUUUUCUCCUCCACAUCCACAGAGACAUUUCCCAUGUUGUUUUUUCGGUUGUGGUAUCUGUGGGUUUGCCCUUUAAGAUUUCAGCUUCCAGCAGUCGGUGCAGGUGUAGUUGUCAGUCCUGCGGCUCCUCCUCGUCAGACUCGCUGCUCUUAGUUUGUUCUGGCUGCGGUCGCUGGAGAGAUGCUGCAGAUUCUGUGUUGCAGGUGUCCUCUCUCACGCCGCUCUCACGUCUCUGCUCGUACUCACCUGUACUCAUUCUGUCAGCAUUUCUCUCUCUGAAUCAGCAUCCGUGUCACAGUCUGGGUCAUCACGACCACUCGUUCCCUCGUCAGCGCUGUCAGUGUUUGUUCUUCGCCCUCCUCCUCCUCCUCCUCUUCAUCCUCCUCUUCCUCCUCGGCUGACUGAACAUGUCUGUCUGCGUCUCUCUGAAGUGUGAGGAUGACUCCAGGCGCUUCACUUGUCAUAGAUGUCACAGUCACCGCCGUGGACGCUAAUCUCCUCCCACCAUCCUUAAUGUCUCACAGAAACUUGACGACUUUGAUUUCUCCAAGUUCUUCCUAAAAAACAUUUUAAUUCCUUUUCUUGGAGACGAAAAACAUCUGUGGGUUUUUUUGGCAAACCUCACAGGAUUAUCCAAACUCCAUUUUAAAGGGAGGAUCUAUGAGCAAACUAAUCAGGAUCAUGUAACACCAGAACUUCCUGUAACAGGCAGAAACCUCGAGCAGAACCAGACAGUCAUCUGCUGAGACUGAGUUGAGUUUACCCCCAAUUUUCACCGCAUCCUGAACAGCUACGAAAAGGCCAUAUCUGUCAAUCAUAGCUGAUAGUAACCAUUCAAGUUAACAUGUCAAUUUACACCGACUUCUUUCUGUUCCUCAGCGGAUCAUAAGAGUUCUAUUUUUUCUGGACGCCGGAGCAUGGCGGAUAAAUUCAGCACAGAUUAACCCGUGCUGGAAAGGAAGUCGGGCACAGACACAAAAUAAAACAUCCGGCUUCUUUUCAAAAUAAAACACUCCGUGUUUCAGGAGGAUCGUAUUUCACACCAUGCAAACGGGCGGAGACGAACAAGUGAAAGGUUUUUAGACGUUAUUUCACCCUGAUGACACCAUGGAUGAGGAGAUGCUGAUUCUAGAAGUCUAGAAGUAGAUUUCCUCCUCUGGAAGGACACAAUCUACUGCUUUUAUAUCUAUGUGUCUGUCUUUAGAGAGACAACUCGUUAUUGCGCGAUUGAACGUGAAGCCGCGGGUUCUUGUGAGUUCUCGCGAUUCCUGCUGUCCGUAAUCGUCCCAACCGAAAUUCGUUUCACAAAUGGAUCCGGUAGUAAUUGGCGGACGGCGAAAAAUGCUGCUGUUCAGAUCUGAGACAUUCUAGAUGCUGUGGAAAUUCAGGGUAACUUGGUGUUAACUUGAUUUUACGCCACAGUAUCGCUUUAAUGCUCCACAACCCCUUUAAAGGUAGAAAUAACUGUUCAUCAGAUCAGUUCACACCCUUCUCUUUUUUUUGAGAUCUUUGCUUCUACAUCCAUCCUGAUUUCCUGUUCCCAUAAUUCCCUGCUCUGUUUUCCUCUUCUUUGUCUGCGUAUUGAACUGUAACCUCACUCUCUGUUCUGCAUUCGGUGUUUUCUGGAUGAUUGUUUGGAUCAUCUCUCUCUCUGUCACCUGUUAUGCUGCUGAUUGAUCACCUCUUUGUUUGCUCACACUCGGCUCGUCCCUCCUCACAUCUCACACAGCUCACGCUCAUCACGCUCAUCACGCCAGCCCGCUGAAUUAUAACACCCCCGCCCCCCUCCAGAUCAAUGCCUGUUCACAUUUCAAACUCAAUCUUCAGCAGCGGUCAAUCAAUGGGCUCAAACAGAAUCAACCCGCCUGAACGGCCGGGGCCGCGGCCUCGGGUUCCCGGGGGAGCGCCGGCGAAUCAAAGGGUGUUAACCUCAAAUGAUUCAAACACGGAGGGAUCAAAACAAAAAUUUUCCACCUCUUUAGAAAAAAAUCUAAUCUGGCGCUGAAGAGAAAUCCGAGCGUGGAGUUUGGAGGAAAAGGGCAGAAAUAUAAAAUGAAGGUGGUUUGUUUUGGCGUGGAAGUUGGUCGAUGAAGUUUGAAAGCUCUAAUUGAGUUCAGCAGAUGAAUGCAGCUCUCCAGUGACUAAUUAAGUUAACAUCUGUGGCAGGUUGUGUUAAUUCGUCCUCUCAGCGACACACAUUUUUCCCGGUGCUGAAGCCCUCUCUCCGAUUCUCCAAUAAUCACUGAAAGUCCCACUAAUGAGUGACAAACUCACCUGCAGCGCCGUAUUUCACGCUGAAAGUCUCUUUUCUCGCUCGCUCUGCGGCACUUAGAGCUGCUGCACGAAGAUUACUUUUCUCAUUACGACCUGAUUGCGCCCACGCCUACACAAUCAACACGGCGCAGACACAUUCAUGUAAAAGUUUCUAUCAAUUUACUCGUCCUCGUUUCAUCGCUAUGGUAACUAAACGCAAAAACCAACACAGACUGUCUCAUAUUGUGUGCUCUAAUUCCGCUGAUUGAGGGAAAAUAAGGAGCCGAGCUGAAAGUAAACAGAGAUUUUAUUGUCAAUUUGUGGACGGAGGACGGUUUUACAGACGCCACAGGCGGACUCGGCGCACUCUGAGGUCGUGGACUUUGAAAUCUGAAGUCUAGACCAGGGUCUGAACCAAGGUCCGUGUUUUUGUUGUGUAGUCGACAUUUAGUUUGGUCUGUUUAGGUUUCACUCUGUCAUUAUUGCAAACGGACUGAAGGGGCGCUCACACCAAGAGCGAGUUAAAUCAUCUACUCGCUUAAUUCGCGUGAAUCUAGACGUGUGAAUGAAAAGUAUUUAAUCGCUUCGUUUGAGCGUCAACGCUAACGUCAACGGUAAUCCCUGGCAAUUCAACCGGCAGGAUCAAGUUACGAUAUACCAGGUAACUUGACCUCCUUCAUCGUUUGGCGAGUUCCUUUUUAUUCCGGUUUCAGUAAUUGAAAGAAAAGUUAUCAUAUAAUUCGAGGCUCCCACACACCGACACGGUCAGUUUGUCCUCCAUUUUAGAUACCAGUGAACAACCGUCUGUUUUCAUACGUCACCUGGCAACCUUUGUGCUGAUUGGUUUUGGCGAUGCGAAUAUCGGCUCAAGUUUAAACAUUUUCAGCUCCCGCCCAAUUCGAGCGCCUAAUCGCGUCUUUGCAUUGACUUAACAUGUAAAUUAUUCGCGCGAUUGAUUUUAGCCGCACUUGGUGUGUGAAGACAGUAACAGACUCUACAUGACGAACCUGCGUGAUAUCGUCAUCAACUCUGUGCUUUGCAUGUCUCUGUAGUUUAUAUUGAUUGGUCAUUAGAUCGGCGGGCGUCUGACGUCAACACGUUGAAAAACACAAGUCGUGAAUGGUCAGAAUCAUCAUUUCCACCAUCGUAUUAUUUUUGAUUUUCUACCGACAGAGCUGUACAUGAGGCUGGUCAGAGGAAGUCUCAUGAAUUUGAUCGACAACGACGACUUUAUCGACAUCGACAGGAAAGGAAUAAAAAAGUACGCUAUUCUGCGAGUCAUUGCCAAACCGGCUCAGGAGAAAAAUCUGUGUAGAUAAAGUCUUGAAAAGUAUAAUAAUGAGGUUUAACUUUAUCUACAAUAUUAGAAAAUUUCCAUUCAACAUAAUAACAGAUACUUCUUCUCCUCACGUCAUGUAAAGCAGCUACCGUUAGCCCACCCUUUAAUAAUUUCCUGUCUUUGGUACGAAGGCCGAACCUUUCAAAAUAAUGCUUUCACACUGGGCAUGAACCGGACCGUGGUUCAGUUUGGUCUGGACCAAGGUCCCGGGGAGGUUUCACACCUUUCAUUUUCAGGGCUGCGAAGUUUCAGAAAACGACAAGAAUGAGACUUCAGCGUUAUGACGUGUUCGGCGAAAAAAACAUGGCCUUUUUUAACGUUGAUUUAAACCUUAAGACUGAUGUUCUAGUUACCUACCUUCUGAUUUUAGGAGAGUAGGUGAGCAUGGGUUUUUAAUUUUGGCGCUGUUGUGUGUGAGAUAGUUGGAGACGCCAAGACCCGCCUUACGUUGCUUUUGAUUGGUUUAUAUUGCCUUCCAUGGUUGGUUAGAUUUAGGCACAAAGGAAUGAUGGAUUGGUUAUCUCGGUCAGUCAAUCAGAGUUACUUGAACUAUAUUUAGCCAAGUGUAUUAUCAUAAAAAAAAGGGUGGUGUGAGAAAGGGUCAAAUUGCGUAAUCGUCACACUCAAAGUGGGACACUUGGCAGCUCUGCGUUUUGGUUCGGACUAAACAGAAAAGUCCAAAAGUUCAGACAAAACGACGUAAGUGUGGAAGCCCUCUAAAUUUCUGCCUGUCCCUUUAAGAAGAGUUUUUAUUUAAAGUCAUAAAACCCUGCUUAAAAAACAGGAACUGCUCCUUUAAUCUGUAAAAGUGAAAACACCCUUCUGUGAUAUUUCCAGAUUUCAGUAAUGACCGGAUCGCCUGUAAAUGAUCUUGGCGAGUUUUUAAAUUAUAGGUAUGUAUGUUUGCAUCGUCACAUUUACGUUUCCGAUCCGUUUUUAUUUUAGCAAACGUAUCCUGGAGUCUUUGCAAUCUGAAAGGAUGAUAACUGUAAUCAAGAUGGUGCCUUUUCCAUCACACUGAGCUCAAAAGUGGCCGUGAUAUUUCCAAAAGUGAAACAUUAAAGCGCCGUGUCACGCCAACUCCUCUAAUGGCCCGUCUUUGUGUCUGAAAAGACGCCUGACAGGCGGUUCUGGUAAAAUGAGCUCCUACUGAGUGAGACAGGUGCGUGUAAUUUUUCCCUCUAAAGGUGAGAGAGAUUAGAUCAUGAGAAUAAAUUAGUCUGUGAUUGGCCCGGAGAGGCGUGGAAGAAUCCAGAUCCAAAUCAGGAAGAGGAGAAGGCGCCGUGUGUGAGUGUGUGUGUGUGAUGGAGACGGGUCAGUUUUCCUGUUACUACAGUAUCAGUGUGUUGACUGAAAUGGACCAGGACAGCCCCUCUGUGCACACACACACACACACACACACACACACACACACACGCUCAUACCUGCUGACCUGAUAAGAUGAGAGGUAACGGCACACCAGCCUGUGAAAACAAAAAAAGAAAAUCCCGCGGGUUUUCGAGCUCGUAGGUAACCAUCAUGUCUUGACACAAUAUGCCGCCUUAUUGCUCUUCUUCACUUCCUGUCUUUUCCUCUGCAGCAGCAGCAGCAGCAGCUGUUUACCUCUGUCCUCCCUCCCUCCCUCUCCUCUUCCUCCAUCUCUCCUCCUCCUCCUCCUCCUCCUGAAGCUCUUUUGCUUGCUGAGGCUCAUCCAGGCACCGGGAGGACGUGCUCAGAAUUGACUGUCUGAUUAACACAGGAGACAAACACAAUUAAAAAUUGAUUUGUGGCUCAUUAUUGACCAAUGUGAAUAAUUUAACAAGGUCUCACGGCCGGGCACGCCAGUGAGUUCUCGCUCAGGGUUGUUGUGCAUGUAUUUGGGAUUUUGCAGCUUUUUUCCAUCCUGAGCUGCGGAGAACAUGCAGAAACACACGAGCUCCUGUGACUCUGGAGUUACCCGUCAUGUCGUCUGUGUGUGCAAACAGUGUCUCUGACCUCAUUGGUCACAGUGAAUGACUGUCGUUCUCAUAGUGACACAUCAUUACAUGCUAAUACUGCUGAUUGUUUGCAGACCCAGUUUCCCUGCAGGAGUUAAUUUCACACCGACUGUCAGAAAAGUUUUAAAUUCUGUUUUUUAAAUCGGCGUUUCCACGAUUAUUAAGAAGAGUAAACAGUCGAGCCGUGUCUCUCAGACCACAGCGGUCCUGGUUCUGCUCAGACUUUCAGGGGUGAGUUUUUUGACUCUCUGCUCCGGCUCUGAUUAAAGAUUCACUCUGACAGCCAAAUUGGGGUCAUUCUCAUUUUACCAGUGAUACACAUUUUUGACAACACUUGGCCGACGCAAUUUCACACAGAUUUGAGGAGAUUAUUGCUUCCGUCCUUCGGUGGUUUUGCAGAAUAAUCAACGGAUAAAACCAACACGGUUAUUAAAAAAAGGAAAAAUUUGUAGAGCUCUAAAUGUUGCACGUCUAAAUCUUGUUUCCUGACAGCUUUCCUGGGAAUUAAACAACAGCAGGAAAGUAUAAUGUGGCUCUAACUAGGGCUGCACGAUAAAUCAGAUUAUUUGAUUAUGAGGAUGUUAAAAAAUUAAAAUCACACACCAGUGUAAACAAACAUGGCGUUUGCAAAAGAAGGCGAUAAUUUCGUGGUUAAAAAGGACAAGAGCGAGUCAGUCGUGUUGAAUUGGUACGACUUCACAGUUUCAGAUGAAGAGUAAACCACUCCCUGCCGUAAAGUCUGAAGGCGGUAUCAACCCGUCACCACGGAAACUAAUUCAGGAGGAAACGCAAAGUUUUUUGUCGUAUCAGCGUUUCAUCCACACAGAAACGGCGAUAGAUGACUGUAAACAGUACUUUUUGAAAACGGGUCAGAGAGUGAAUAAAUCUGUAAACGACGACCAUUUCAUCUCCAGGUGGAUGUCUAUCUGCAUCUCUGGAAACGAUCAUGUGACACACAGCGUAACUCUUUUAUGGCGCCUGUGCGUGUGUCCGACCAAAUUAACCUUUCUGCACAUGCUCUGUUCUCUUCUUCUGUCUUCUAUGUGCAGCGUUACAGCGCCACUUACAUUUACAGAAGGAUUAGAUCUUAGGUGGUGCUACUUCUGCACAUAGGGGGCAAAAAUGCAAAGACAGUAUCGUCCACAGGGGGCGCCAAACAGACACAAACAGAGAGUUCCUCACGGCAGCUUUAUCGUGUUUUCACCUCUUUAAUUUAUGUUUUAGUUUUACUCACAGAGAUCUCAGACAGAGAGGUUCACACGGCAGAUCUCUGAAGAUGUAAAACCACGUCUUUGUUUUUCCUCCGUCGGUUACAGCUGGCUAAGUUUACACUCCGUGUUUCUGCCCUCUUUUCUUCAUUUACUUUAAUUAACUGAAAGUUCACUUCAUCCUGCUCUUCUCAGCAGACUCAGAGAAAGUGUUACCGCUCAGUCGCUCUACGUACAGCUCACUGCUGUGCUCCUUCGACACCUACCACCACCUACACUGAAGGUAUUUAUUUAUGUUACCGAACGAACUCUGGUGCUGUCAUGGAGGCAGACUGUGCUUCACUAACAGUUCGCUCAUCCUACCGUAUAUCACAGGUAAAAACCUUGUUUCUUUCCAUUAGUUCUUCUCCUGGUAGGUGAUUAAAACGUGUCGAAGACGUUAAUCCAUAACAUCUCCAGCCGAACUACCGCUGUUUUCACCACGAGCCCGACAAAAACUCUAAAUUUAGGGUGUUUGUUUCUGCAGAGUAACUUUCAUUAAUCAGAACAAACCCCACGGUGAAGACGCAACCAGUCAGGCUCUUCACUGUAAAUGUUUGACUUUGACAAACUGGACUGAAGGUUUGUUUUCGCUGCUCAUUUAUUUGUUUGUUCGGUUACAAAAAAGGUAAGAAUUAAACAUAAGUUUGCAUAAAUCAGCGUUAACGGAUUAAAAAGAUUAUAAACCUUUGUUCAGUCUGUCUAAAGGUCCUUACACACCGGGAACGACACAAAUAUAUGACACAAAAUUACAACAUAUUCGGAGGCGAAUUUUGACGCGCCUGACUAUACACAUCAAACGCGAUGCGAUUUUGCGACUUUCCGGGGGAAAAAAGAUGCAAGAAGACUGAGCCAACAGCAGACUGAGUGUUUUCAGUUCUGAUUAGACACUAGUGUUGAGAUGUCUGUCUGUCAUGAUAGCAUGUACUGAGUCGGGGCCAGUACCAGAUAAGAACAUGAAAGAGACAGUGAGACAGUGAAAAUACAUAUGGUAUGUUGUAUCUGAACAGGUUAGCUUACGAGCUAAAGUAACUUAGCACAGAUGAAAGUUAAAACAAAGACGUUUAACAAACUGUUAAAGCACACAAACCAUCGUCCAAGUCGUCCUUCAGGUUGUUAUCUUUGUAAUAUUUGUGUUUUUUAUCAAAAAUCACUCUGUUCUCCGACACGUAAACAAUCAGCCGGUCGGCCAUGUUGGAUAUACCGGUGAAUCUGACGUCGCAACAACAUGAAAUCUGAUUGUUCAGAAGUGGACACACAGUAUGUGAAACUUUAAAAACGAAAAAAUAAAAACAUCACUGAUGUGAACGCUUGUAUUGACAGGAUGCACAACAAAAACGCUCCUGGUGUGAAAGGACCUUAAAGCUGCAGGUUCUUGCAUCUCUGCUCUGACUUCAUCACUGAACUCAUUGAGAUUGUAAACACAUACAUGUUUCAGCACACUGGGAUAUUUUUAUAAUCAAAAUAAUCUGAUUAUGGUUUGAAAUCGAUUCAUCGUGCAGCCCUAGCUUCAGCCUUCACUUGACCUUCACACUCGAUCCUUCGUUAGUUAAUUAAAAACCUCCUCAGACCAUGAAAAGUUCUCCUCCCUCUCCCCCGCUGUGCUUUAAACAAACCCCAACUUUACCCGUCAAUCUCACCUCGUUUCCACUCCUGACAUUUCUCACAUGUGGGCUCCCACUUCCUCACAAUUACCCAUCAUUGUGUUGUCACCGCCUCCACCGCCCUGCUACGUCCUAAUGGGGGAGAAGCUCUGACAGUUUGUCAGGCCGGAGAAGAUAAGAUGGCCGUUUAGCGGGCGUUUGCUCUCCUAUCGUUUGUCUCGAUUUAAUUAGACCGUGAGCUCUCCUCCCAGGAAAGUCACCAAACGGGAUCUGCUUUACCUGCACGUGUCGGAGAUUAGCGGAGGAUUAAGACCGGAUUGUAGUUCUGAUCUUGAAAUUAAUAAGCGCAUGUAUUAUCAGGGUUUCAAGUCCCUCCUCAUUAUCAUAGGACCUUAUUCUGCAGAGUUCACAGAAUGACAGGAGGAAAUGUGAGAGGAGGACAGAACAGCCUGUGAAAGCGCAGACCCAGCCAGAGGCAGAAAUGAGGACGACCCGUGUAAAAAUGUGAUGUUUGCUGCAGCAGAACCUGAAUCCUUCAUAUUCAAGGACUCGGGUUCUGGUACACAUCCAGAACCUUCUUUUGAGCCCCUAAAGCAAAUCACCAAAUCUGAGCUGAAAGGAGGAGAUCAAUAAUCUUUAUUGUGAGCGGAGCAUCCUUUUCAAUCAGGAGGAAUCAUGUUAAGUAGGUUUCUAUUUUCGAUAAGAAGCAUUCAUGAUUUUAGGAGAUAAACACGAGGAUGUGAUUCUCCGUGAGGCUGCAGGCGGUCUGAGAACAUCGACUGUAAGUGCUGUGAGGGGAAUAGAUGUAGAUGAAAUAGAGCUGUCCUCCUCUGUAAACAUUAAGGAUUCACUUUGUGCGCUCGCUUUUGUUCCCUAAAUCGGUUCCCUGUUGUUGCCUAACCCUCCAGCCUCCUCUCCUCUUGUAUCUCUUGUUUCAUUAGCCCUGAUCCAUUUGCUCUUUUGGGCUCUGCUCCUUUUUCUCUCCCUAUCGGUUGUUUGCCAGGUGGCGCGUCUGUAAAAGCCGUCUGAUUUAUAGCGGGUGGAGAGUCGUGCCGGACAGCAGAGUCCCCGCAGGUAUUCAGCGAAUGUUUGUUUAUCUGAGAAAGAGAGGAAAAGAAGCAGGAGGGAAAAAGACGAUUAAAUACGACCAGGUUAGAAACACCAACAACAAACUGCUGAAACUUUGAAUCUUAGCUAAUGAAGUUGUAAUUCACGUCUGAGUCACAUCUGCUCGGUUGUGAAUGAAGCAGUGAACCCUGAACAUGAAUUGAUAUUCCAGGCGUGACUCUCCAAAACUCUCACCUCUCUUUACUCUCCGUUUCUCACUGAACAGAGACGAAACAUGAAGAAGACAGAGACACAAAUGUGAGCCGGUGAAAAUAAAAACGUCUCUUUCAUGCAGCGGCUCUCAUGUUGAAUAUAUUCAGUUAUGCAAACUUCCCUGUUUGACAUUUGUGCUUUCAGGAUUCAGUAUGAAGCUUUACAGCUCUGCAGCUGCUGCUCCUCAGGCCUCUCUUGGAUCACUUCAGCGCAGGUUUCUAUCCUCAUAUUUCAUUUUUUUCACACAUUAUAUCAUUUUCAGGUUCUCAGAAACUCCGGCUCUUCUCUACACUAAUUGGGAUACAAACGCCGGUCUGUCUACCUGCCUGCCUGCCCAUCUUUACCGACUGUCUGCCUGUCAGUCGAUCUGCCUACUCUCUCUCCCUCUCUCUUUUUUUUCAUACAUCUUCUCUCAGUGAUAUAAAGGAUCUAAAAGGUGCUAGGUUGCUAAGGUAACCGGUCUUCCUAUAAUAUCAGAAUCUGUGUUCGGUAAGUAUUGAGUAAAAAUGAGUCACGCUCCAUCUUAAUGACACUAAGGAGGAUAAUUACAUGUGAGUUUCUUUGAUAUGUUCACGUCUUAGAGAAGAUGUUUUGACAUCUGUAUGUGUGAUUUAUAAAAAACAUAAAACUCUACAGUCAGUCUGUUUGCCAUGAAAGUAAGUAUGUAUGAACUUUGAACUCUAAGAACACGUCACAAACUCAAGACACAGAGCAGCAUUUUAACGUCGGGGUUCCUACGUGAGUAUAUGGUAUAUAUAUAUAAACUCAAGGCCCCGGGGCCAAAUCUAUCUGGCCCACAAGAUCAUCUCAUACUUGUAUUAUUAUAGUCCCACCAGUAUGAGGUCUGCAGAUUUCCUCUAGUAUAAUAAUGUAAACUUUAGCACCAUUAUUUAAAAUGUAAGGAAGUAAGGAGUAAGGAAGAUUUGAUGAACAGUCAAGAAUGUGAAGGGAAAAAUAUUUGGUGUUUUUAUUUCAUGUUUUCAAUUUUGCAUUUUAAGAUUACAAGUCAAACACGAUUGGAGUUUUUAUAUCAUGUUUUUAUUUUUUAACUCAGUAUUUAGACUCGUGUUAUUUCUACACUUUAGAUUACAAUUUUAAAUUUUCAGUCAUAUUUUGACUUUUAAACCUGAUUUCAAUGUUCUCCUCGUGUUUUUGCUCUUUAAAGAAUCAUUUCUCUAUUUUGAAUAUUACGCUCUGAUCUUUUGAACUAAUAAAUACAAAUAGAAUAAAAAAAUAAAAUAAUUUUUCUAUCUCAGAUUGCCUUUAAACGUAUCUUUUUUAUCUUUUUUUAAUUUCCAAAUAAUUUAUAACCAUUUUUGUUUUUGUUACAUAUUUUUUUAAAAAGCAGGUUGACAGUUUUGGUGACAGUUUUGUUGAAAUGUUGACCCUCUUUGGCCCUCAGGUUAGAACUUAAUCCAGAUUACGGCCCUUGCUGUGGUUGAGUUUGACACCCCUGAUGUAUAGAAAUAAAUUAGAUUAAUUUCCAAGUCUGAAAAGUAUGGAAACAUAUUUUCGUUUCCAGACUUUCACCACAGUUCAAAAAUACCUUUUUCUAACGUAGAAAAGUUGGUAUUUCCCAAAAUAAUUCUAAAAAUGAGAGAAUGGAAAAGUCUGAACAUUCCAACUGUGUAGAAACCCUGUAACUCUGAUAUCUCUGAUCCUUCGCUCCUGCCUUUAGUUUAUUUUCGGGUUUUUCUGCCUUUUUCACCGUCAGUUGGAGGACGGAGCAGGAAACUGAAAUAGUUAAGGUCAUGUUAUUCUCCAGUUCUGCUGGUGGACGCACCGCUGAUAUUAAAGACCCAAGGUCGAUCUAUAAAGCUCGUCCAAACUAUUAUUUCUUUGGUUUUCUUAUUGAUCGAGAGCUAACGUUGUUAAUUUGGUCUCCGGACUCAGGGUCGAUGCUGCUUCGACCUUAGAGGAGGGAACUUCCUGUAUCAGUGAGGCGCCAUCGCUGUGAUAUUUGUACCGUCGCAGAAAGAAACGCCACUCUGCCUUUUAGAGGUGUCCUGAUACAACUUUUUUACUUCGGAUACGAUACUGAUACCGUAGCCUUCAAUAUUGGCUGAUACCGAUAUUGAUCUGAUAUUGGUACAGAAUUAUGUUUGACAACUUUUGCACUCAGUUUAAACGUCUUUUUUGGACUUAAACCAAAAAUACUCCCACAGGGCCGACAUCACUCCGACUCUUUGCUCUUUGGGAGGGGACGAGUUGGAACCACGGGAGAGGGGUGUGUCGGAUACAGCAAGGUGAUUGGAUGGAGAGGCGGAGCCGGAGAUUGACCAAUAGGAGCUGUCUGGGGCGGAUGGCUCCCAUUGGUCAAUGUUUUUGCAGCCCUGCUCCUGUUUGGGUGAACAGAUUGUCUCCGUUUUUUUUUCUCUUCACUUUGUGGAGAUCGCACUAUAGGACCAUGAUCGCCAUGGAAACGAGGUUCAUAAUCAUUACCAAUCAUCAACCAUGCCUUUAAUCCUGUUGUUUUUUGGUGAUUUGUCAGGCGGUAAAAACACAGUUGGACUCCUGCAGGAAUAAAACUCUUCAUAUAUAAAUCUCUCUUUUUUUUCUCUCCCUCUCUCAGUCGGUCCAUGAAUUCGAAGCUUGACCUUUGCUGACCUGAACCGUGAGAUUAAUCCAGCGCACCCCUACCUGACCUGUCCUCCAGUGUGGUCUUUGAUGGGC